rnacentral:rRNA from 1 species
AGUGAACGCUGGCGGUAGGCCUAACACAUGCAAGUCGAACGGCAGCACAGUAAGAGCUUGCUCUUACGGGUGGCGAGUGGCGGACGGGUGAGGAAUACAUCGGAAUCUACUUUUUAGUGGGGGAUAACGCAGGGAAACUUACGCCAAUACCGCAUACGACCUACGGGUGAAAGCAGGGGAUCUUCGGAUCUCGCGCGAUUGAAUGAGCCGAUGUCGGAUUAGCUAGUUGGCGGGGUAAAGGCCCACCAAGGCGACGAUCCGUAGCUGGUCUGAGAGGAUGAUCAGCCACACUGGAACUGAGACACGGUCCAGACUCCUACGGGAGGCAGCAGUGGGGAAUAUUGGACAAUGGGCGCAAGCCUGAUCCAGCCAUACCGCGUGGGUGAAGAAGGCCUUCGGGUUGUAAAGCCCUUUUGUUUGGAAAGAAAAGCAGCAAGUUAAUACCCCGCUGUUCUGACGUUACCCAAAGAAUAAGCACCGGCUAACUUCGUG